AGUAGACGCUGAAAGAGGAGCUUGCUCUUCUUGGAUGAGUUGCGAACGGGUGAGUAACGCGUAGGUAACCUGCCUUGUAGCGGGGGAUAACUAUUGGAAACGAUAGCUAAUACCGCAUAACAAUGGAUGACACAUGUCAUUUAUUUGAAAGGGGCAAUUGCUCCACUACAAGAUGGACCUGCGUUGUAUUAGCUAGUAGGUGAGGUAACGGCUCACCUAGGCGACGAUACAUAGCCGACCUGAGAGGGUGAUCGGCCACACUGGGACUGAGACACGGCCCAGACUCCUACGGGAGGCAGCAGUAGGGAAUCUUCGGCAAUGGGGGCAACCCUGACCGAGCAACGCCGCGUGAGUGAAGAAGGUUUUCGGAUCGUAAAGCUCUGUUGUAAGUCAAGAACGAGUGUGAGAGUGGAAAGUUCACACUGUGACGGUAGCUUACCAGAAAGGGACGGCUAACUACGUGCCAGCAGCCGCGGUAAUACGUAGGUCCCGAGCGUUGUCCGGAUUUA
rnacentral:rRNA from 1 species